GAACUUAAGCAUAUCAAUAAGCGGAGGAAAAGAAACUAACAAGGAUUCCCCUAGUAACUGCGAGUGAAGCGGGAAAAGCUCAAAUUUAAAAUCUGGCGUGCCUCUGGUCGUCCGAGUUGUAGUUUAGAGAAGCGUUUUCUGUGUUGGACCGUGUAUAAGUCUCUUGGAACAGGGCGUCAUAGAGGGUGAGAAUCCCGUCUUUGACACGGACUACCAAUGCUUUGUGAUACGCUCUCAAAGAGUCGAGUUGUUUGGGAAUGCAGCUCAAAAUGGGUGGUAAAUUCCAUCUAAAGCUAAAUAUAGGCGAGAGACCGAUAGCGAACAAGUACCGUGAGGGAAAGAUGAAAAGCACUUUGGAAAGAGAGUUAAACAGUACGUGAAAUUGCUGAAAGGGAAACGCUUGAAGUCAGUCACGUCUGCCAGGACUCAGCCUUGCUUCUGCUUGGUGUACUUUCUGGUUGGAUGGGCCAACAUCGAUUUCGACCGUUGGAGAAAGGCUUUGGGAAUGUGGCACCUUCGGGUGUGUUAUAGCCCUUUGUCGUAUACAAUGGUUGGGAUCGAGGACUGCAGCAUGCCUUCAUGGCCGGGGUUCGCCCACGUACAUGCUUAGGAUGUUGGCAUAAUGGCUUUAAGCGACCCGUCUUGAAACACGGACCGAGGAGUCUAACAUGCCUGCGAGUGUUUGGGUGGAAAACCCAUGCGCGUAAUGAAAGUGAUAGCUGAGAUCCUCUCAUCAGGAGCAUCAGCGCCUGGACUUGAUCUACGGAGACGGUUCUACGGUAGAGCAUGUAUGUUGGGACCCGAAA
rnacentral:rRNA from 1 species